rnacentral:tmRNA from 1 species
GGGGAUGCGUGGUUUCGACAGGGUCUGGCUGACAGUGAACGCGAGCCGAGGUGCCGUCAGGCCUCGUUAAACAGGCGGCAAAACGAAGUAACUGCCAACAAGCAGUCGACUCUCGCCCUCGCCGCUUAGGCGGUAAGGUGAGCGUGGAAGCGACCUCAGUCCCGCGGGUCGUGGAAGCGUCAUGCAGCGGGGCUGCAGCCCGGAUGAGCGUCGCGUAGCCCGGGACCAAGCUCGAUCUAGAGACACGUGACUGGACCAACCGGGAGAGUGCCGAUCCCCGCCCGGAUGGUUGACGAAAACGAUCGGACACGCUCGUAGUGGUUGCUGCCGAAGGGCUCUGGACGGGGAGUUCGACUCUCCCCCAUCUCCACCA